AUGCAACUGAGUAGGCUACAAUAUGUUAAGCCUCACAGGUUGAGAGUGCCACUAUAUUUUGCUUAUUGGACAUCCAAGAUAUAUGGGAAACUGAAAACAGAAACACUCGUCCCAUGCUACUUCUUCUAUCUACUAUAUCACCACACCAGCCAGAAUCAUAGUAGGCUACAAGGUGUAGGCUAUUGUCCUCUUCCCAAGUCAGUCAUAUCAAAUUCACUUUUUAGUUUCCUAUUGAUUAAUUCCAAGGAAUUUAGACUACUACACGUGAUGACCAAACCAUCAACAUACAAACACAAUAUCAAUAGUUCUUGUUCAUUUACUACCUAA